GCUGAUGCAGAGGAGUUUGGGGUGGCAUUUUGAUUGUUUAUUCUUAUUCAUGUAUCAUGUAGUUUUAUUUUGAUUCUAAUAGUAAAAGUCAGCUUCUGUUUUUGUGUCAUCUUUUUCUUUCUAUUAUUUAACAAGCGCAUGUGAUGCAAAUGCAAGAACUGUAGGGCUCCAUACCAAAAAUGGACCUGUUACCAAUUGUUUAAGAUAAAUGAUUGAAUAUAUUGCAAAGAACCUAACAAAAUAUGUUGAAGCUCCU
rnacentral:lncRNA from 1 species